CUUCAGGGACGCGGGGCACAGGGUACCCGCCGCCGCCGCUGCUGCUGCUCCUGCAGCCGCCGCUCCCGCCGCCGCCGCCGCCGCCCGCGCCUCUCGCGCCGGUUACAUUAACACGCGGUUUCACACUCCGGAGCUAACCAGCGCCGGCCCCGCCCAGCCCUGUGCGGGCGGGGGCCGCGAGCGCGGAGCCGGCGGGGGACGUGGGCCCUGUAGGGCGGAGGGGGAAGCCGAGAGGCCCGCGUCAGCCAAUUGCGUGCGGCGCGCCCAACGUGGGGUGCUUACGCGGCGCCUCCCCAGAGCCUAUGGCAGCGCGCCUCCGGAUCGCCGUGUCUCUCUCUUUCUCUCUCUCUCUCUCUCUCACUCCCCUCCUCUCCCACCUCACUCGCUUCCAUCUCCGCCGUCUCCCCCGUCUCCCCUCCCACCCACCCCCAUCCCUCCUCCGCCAGCCGCGUCCUCCCGGGCUCGGUGAGGAACUGUUCUUGGAGGAGCCGCGGGACGCCGAAACUAGCCAAUGGGAAGCGGCGAGACGCGGAGAUUGGCACCGUGGAUGGGAAGUGGCUCCCAGUCAUCUGCUGGUGCAGCGGCAGAAGUGAGCUGCAGAGUAGGAGAUACUGGAGACGCCGGUGACCGUGAAUCCUGGAGCAGGGCUGCAGGAAUAUUGAUCUCAGUGUUAUUUUGACCAUUAAUGAAUUAUGAAGGCAAUAAGCAGAGACACACACCUCCAGCCUCCUGGGAGCUUAACCUUCUGCUACAACGUUUGCAUUUGAAUCUUUGACAAGCCUGACAUGUCCUCAGAACUGCUCUUCUGGACAAAAUUUCACAUUCAGUGAAAUGAAAGCCUAUUGUCAACUUGAAAUAAGAAACCCACAGCCCUGGGUCUUCUGCCUCUCUGCCUAACUGGUAAGUCAUUGCAAAGUUCCAGUGGCCUGAUUAACACUAAGUUCUAAUGACCUGAAUGUCAACAUCAAAAGUAUUGCAUAUUUGCAUUACUAAUAGGUCUUUUUCUAAACAUGUUGACAUUUUAAUUGCUCUUGAGUAGCUUCCAUUAUUUUUUCCCUUGCAUUUUGGCAAGAUUGAUGGGAUAAAUCAUAGAAAAACAAAUUAAAUUUGCAAUCUAGCCACUUUCUGUAAACAAGCUAGCAAUGUAAGGGUCACUGAGGAGUCAUAGCUAUGACAAUAGCUGCCUUGAGUCAAGUGGAAUUGGUUUAGAGGAUUCAUUUAGAAAGUGAGCCAUAAACUGUAGAGCAGUAAAGAUGGCCAAGAGGAUACGGACAUGGAAGGAGAUAGCACAGAACUAGGGCAGAGUCGGCAGUGGCCUAUAUUGUAUACUUGAAGAGCCUCAAGAAAGGCUGUUGUCCAGCUUUAAUGUGUUCAAAAAUAAUGUUGAGGCCAUACAUGUAUAUCAAAAUGCCACCUUUAAUAAACCAGAUAACAAGAUAUAUAAAUGUUACUCACCUGUGGUCCCUGUGGAGUAGACAGCCGAAUUUUCCCUAACAUUCCUGUAUUUCUUUUGCUCUGUUCUGAUGCCCAGCUGCUGGACUCAAGUGAGGUUGAUGUCACUGGGUUGGCAAGAGUGCAGUGCUUUUAGAUCCACUUCCCCAACCCACCAGCAUUUUAUACCCAGUUGUUUGUAACUCCUGCCGUUAUUAAGUCUCAUAGAGUUCAUUAUAAUGUGACACCAUGUCAUCACUGACACUUACAAGUGACACAUUUGUAUAGUCAUUCAGCCCUUUGGAAGAUGCCCCACUGAAAUUUAAUUUUGGUGAUUCCCAAGUCAUUUUCCCAUUACAGUCAUCCUAGCUACCAACUACUUAACUCUUAGGUAACUGAAAUUGUUUUUUUUCCUUAGGUGCCUGAAAUUCUCACUAUUAGAGUUGUUAGCUUUCAGAGAAGACUGUUUAGGAAAGAUAAUCUACUAAAUCACUUGAAUAGAGUUAGUUUAUCAGAUUAGUUUGGCUAUCUUUACUUUCUUAGGAUCCCCUGUGUAUCACUCAGGGUCCCUUUAGGAAAUGAAUAGCAUAUUCAAGCUCGGCAAUUGAGAAGAGUUGAAAGAAGGGGUUAUUUACAGAUUGUGUGUGCCUUAGGAACAGCCCAUGCAGGUGACACAUGGCUUCAUUAUCAUACCUAGCCAGGAUGGGGCGAGGGACAGUUCCUGGGACCUGGAGAGGUGGUAAUGUAUGAAGAGGCUCCCUGAGGGUUGCUGUCACAUUUGGUGGAGGGAUGAAGCAGGGAGCAAGCUGGAGAAUAAAUACCCAGCCUUCACUCUCCUCUCUCCUUCUAUACACUGUUGGUCUCCCACAUUGACUAAACCCAAACAAAACUAGAGGACAAGGAAGCCCACUGGAGUCAUCCACAGAAGUAGGUCUCCUGGGGCAGGGUGGAGAGUGGAUCUGGAGGGUCAACCGGAAGAGAUCCAGGAUAGUCUGUAGUGCAGUUGGUGUUCCCACUGUGCUCCACCUCCUUACAGUCAUGGGUCCGUUGGGCCCUCCUGGCUGUGGUUUCUGCUCCUCCCUUCGCCCUGCAGCUGAUGUCCACAUAACCCCAUCUGAAUCUCCCACAGACACCUCCCCCUCAGCAUGCCCUGAAUGAACUCAUCACACUCACCGUCUUUAUGCCGUUUAUUCAACCUGCACCUUCUCUUAUGAUCUGUCAUAGUUAAGAUAUCACUAGCCUUGUGCCCAAAUCGGAAGUCUAGGAAUCCUUUUAUACUACAGCCUUUCUCUCACCCCAACAUCCCAUCGCCAGUUCUGCUGAUUUUGCCAUCAAGAUACUUCUCUGUCAAGGACAAGGCAGCUCUGCAGCUGAAGCAAUCCCUGAAGAGGUUGACAGCUGAAGGCCGUCUGCUGACGGCACUUUCUGUAGCUAGAACAACACCUCUUUUCCUGAAGGGGGAUGGAGCAGUGCAUUGCAAUGCUCACCACAGGCCAGAUAGUUUUCUUGGCAUUUCUAGAGUCUGCCGUCCUAUGUAGGACCUGCAGACUGUGAGCGGGGACUGAGCAGUGGUUGUCCUUCUCAGUCAGGCUUGUGAUCUCUGGUUCUCCCUGCUCCCUGCUCCGAGUGUGUGGAACACUGCCUGCUACAUGUAUUGACAUUUCUGGUAGUCCUUAGGAGAUUGCCACCCUGUUAGUGACUAACAAAUGUUUGUUGAACUGAACAAAAAUCAAUAUUGCUGAAUUACACUUCUUAAGAACAUUCAUAUAUAUUUAUUUAAUCCUUUAAAACAACCCUAGGAGUUAGAUAUACUGAUCACCCCCAUAUUACAGAUGAGGGAACUGAGUCCCAGAGUGGCUCAGUGACUUGCUCAGGAUUAUGACUUAUGUCAACUGUUCUGAUUUAAAACCUCAUGCUCUUCCAUGAUGACAUACAAAGGUCAUGGGAUGUUUCUGCUGGAAAGUGACUGGGUCUGACAUGAUUGGGACAUAGAUCUUGACUAGUCUUGGCUAGAUGGGAAGAAAAAAAUAUCUUAACAAAACGCAGAAUAUUCAGGGAGAAAGAAAUUGGAAAAUUCCUAAGCUGGCAGCAAGGACUGGGAAGGGAGACUAUUCUUUUAGGACCUUCUUUUCUCAGAUGGUUUCAAAGGAGGAAAAACAAUUAGAGCUGCAAGGGGGAGCAGGAGACAAGACAAGGUUGAUGAUCAAAGAGGAGAACAAUGUAGGAAAAUAGCAACAUUUCAGACGCAGCGACACACACGCUGAAAAUGUGUCAGCAGUGCGAGGUCACUGUUAACUGCCAAGAAUAAGACUGAAAUAGAUUGUUAAAUGAGAGUCAGUAUUGUCAAGGCUGAGUUGUUUGCCUGCCUCAAAAGGACAAAAUUCUGAGAGGUGGGAUGAAAGAAAAUUUAUCCAAUUGACUCUAAAAUGGAAAUAUGAUGGCUCCAGUGCUGGGUAUGGAUUAGAACUUUGUUUUUUCAUUACACUAAACUUGAGUAGUCAAAACACUUUGGAAAUAACAUUUUUCUUCUCUACAUAAUUUUAAAUGAAGCAUUUGUUUUUUUCAAAAAGAAAUGCCUUUUAUUAAAAAGCUGGGAGACAAAAUUCUUGUCUUCAUCUCAAAUAAAGCUAUUUUAAAGUUCAAUUAUUAUGGUUACAGAAUACUCAUUUCAGACAGAAGAGAUUUAAGGUAUAGGGAUAUAAAUAUGAAGAAUAUAAAAAACAUACAAUUUUCAUCAUUGUGAAAACCAUAUUAUAAAGUCUCAGAGGUGACUUUUCUACUUUGUAGCUUGGAAUCACACAGAUUUUUCUUUAAGUUUGGAAACAUAAGUGGAAACAGUAUUGAUAAAACUGGGAGUUUUGGUUGAAGAAGGCACAAUUAUUAAGUGGAAAAUUACCAAUGGCAAUUUCCUUAGAUUUCAUUAGUUGAGGUAAAUAUAUAUGCUUAAAUCAUCUUUCACCAUAGUGUCUAUCUGUCUAUCUACUUACCUAUCUAUUUUUAGGGAUCAAAUGACUGGUAAUUGAGACACAGAAAACUAUGACAAAAGGAGCAAUAUACAUGGUUAAUACCUGGAUAAACAGAAUAUUUUUCCUACUUAAAUUCUUUAAAAUACUUACAACUCUUGAAGGCAAAAAUUAUAACAUGUCUAACGGGGUUUUCAGUGUAAGUGGAUAUAAUGUGUAUGACAGUGGCAACAUAAAAGGGAAAGGGACCUCAUAUGGUGGUAAAUUUCUACAUUUCACUUGAAGUGGUAAAAUGUCAAUUCUAAGUAAACUGAAGAGUUGGGUAUAUUAUAUUUACUAGAAAAAAUUCUAAAAUACUUAUAUAGCAAAAUAUAGCAAAAAGCCGGUAGGUAAAAUAAAAUGCUAAAAAUAUUUUUAAAUCCAGUAAAAGUCAGAAAAGGGGAGACAGAGGAACAAAAACACAGAGAACAAACAGAAAACAAAUAAAUGGUAGACCUAAAUCCAGCUAAAUUAAUGACUUCAUUAAUUGUAAAUCCUCUAAACACAUCAAUUAAAAGACAGGUUAAAAAUAAUAAUACAAGACCUAACUAUAGAGUAUAGGCAGGUUAAAAACAAAGUAAUGCAAACAUGUAUACAAUAUAAAUACUAAUAAAAAGAAAAGUGGAGUGGCUUUAUUAAUAUCAGAUACAGCUUUCAGACCAAGGCAAAAUACCGGAGACAUUAUAUACUUAUAAGAAAUAUCAGCUCAUCAAGAAGAUACAACAAUCUUAAAUAUGUAUGUACUAAAAACAGCUUCACAAGCACAAUAAGAACUAACAAAAUUAUAGAAAUGUACAGAUCUGUUAUACUUAGAGACCUCAAAAUCCCUCCAUAGUCAACACAAGUAGACAGAAAAUCAGCAAGUAUACGGAAGAUCUGAACAACACUAUCAACUAUUUGACUGUGGUGGGACUCUCCACACAACAACAGAACAUACAUUCUUUUCAAGUACACAAGGAACAUUCACCAAGAUAUACCAUAUCCCAGGCCAUAAAACAAACCUUAGCAAUUUUAAAAGAAAUCAUCUAAAGUAUGUUUUUCGGGUCAUAGCAGAAUUAAACUGCAAUUAUAGAAAGAUAUCUGGAAAACUCCAAAAUAUUUGGAAACUAAAAAUAUACUUCUAAAUAAUUCAUAGGUCAAAGAAAUUUACUAGGAAAUUAUAAAAUAUUUUGAACUGAAUGAAAACCAACAUAUUAGAAUCUGUGGAAUAUAGCUAAAACAGUGUAGAGGAAAAUUUAUAGCACUAAAACUAUAGAAAAAAAGAAAAAUCUCAAAGUAGUCAUCUAAGGCUUCAUUUUAAGAAACUAAAAAAGGACAAACUAAAUUCAAAGCUAGCAGAAAAAAGAAAAUUAUGAAGAACAGAAAUCAAUAAA